GAUGAACGCUGGCGGCGUGCCUAAUACAUGCAAGUCGAGCGAACAGACGAGGCGCUUGCUCCUCUGACGUUAGCGGCGGACGGGUGAGUAACGCGUGGAUAACCUACCUAUCAGACUGGGAUAACUUCGGGACACCGGCGCUAAUACCGGAUAAUAUCUUGAACCGCAUGGUUCAAUAGUGAAAGACGGUUUUGCUGUCACUUAUAGAUGGAUCCGCGCCGCAUUAGCUAGUUGGUAAGGUAACGGCUUACCAAGGCAACGAUGGGUAGCCGACCUGAGAGGGUGAUCGGCGACACUGGAACUGAGACACGGUCCAGACUCCUACGGGAGGCAGCAGUAGGGAAUCUUCCGCAAUGGGCGAAAGCCUGACGGAGCAACGCCGAGUGAGUGAUGAAGGUCUUCGGAUCGUAAAACUCUGUUAUGAGGGAAGAACAAAUGUGUAAGUAACUAUGCACGUCUUGACGGUACCUAAUCAGAAAGCCACGGCUAACUACGUG
rnacentral:rRNA from 1 species